UACAGAGGGUGCUAGCGUUGUUCGGAAUCAUUGGGCGUAAAGCGCUUGUAGGCGGCCUGUCAAGUCGCGUGUGAAAUCCCCUGGCUUAACCAGGGAAGUGCGCGCGAAACUGGCGGGCUUGAGUGCCGGAGAGGGUCGCGGAAUUCCCGGUGUAGAGGUGAAAUUCGUAGAUAUCGGGAGGAACACCAGUGGCGAAGGCGGCGACCUGGACGGACACUGACGCUGAGACGCGAAAGCGUGGGGAGCAAACAGG
rnacentral:rRNA from 1 species